CUCUCCUUGUUGAAAGUCAUCACGGAGGAACAUGAAAUCCAGGUGCCUGCCCUCUUCUUCCAAAGCUGCCUUUGGAUUACUGGCAGUUCCUUCUGCAUCUUCCUGCACAGGCAAGACCAAGGACUUUGAAGCAAGGCUAAAAGAAGGAGUGAGACUUCAUCCAUUCCCCGGGAAGAUUGUGAAGCAAGCCUUGCCCCUGAGACUGGUUCUGGACAGUUUGGAAGCUGCCCAUUUUCAGUCUUCCCUCUAAUCCUGUGAGGUCUCUCACAUCCCUUAGAGGCAGCCACUCUUUGUAAAGUCCCAAGAGUCAGUUUUUUGUUGUUGGCAAAUCAACAACUGCUGUGAUAUGCUCACCAUUAUUAUCACUGUGUAUGCCAAUAUAGCUACAAAACAAAGCUUUACGAUGGCUUUUAUUGUUAAUUGUAAUUUUUUUCUCUGUGUUAUUUAGCAUGUGUGAAGUAUAAAGCAACCCUCUAAUAUUGUGCCACAUGUUCUGGUAUCUGGGAAACAUGACCCAGGUGACUGUGUGACACUCAGGGUGCUGCAAUGUCCAGGAGCAGGAAGAAGAAGAGCGGCCAUGAAAACAGUCUCCCACAUUCUGAGGGUGAGAAAGUUAUUGGAACAGUGAGAAAGUGAAAAAAUACGAAGAGUUCUGGUUAGGACAAACAUAAAAGUCAAGAAUUGCAGGACAAGAGUUUGGGAAGAUGCUUAACCUGGAUGUGCUGAGUCAGAGAAGUAAGGGGUGAAGAGAUCCAGAGACCCAGAUCACUGAGGAGCUAACCAGAAUAAAGGGCAAAUCCUGAAUAUCUCCAUGGAUUUCUUUUGCUGCUCAAUGAAGAGUCAUCGCUUAAAGACUUUAGUCAUUACAGCCUGUUAAGAUUAAUGAUCUGCUAGCAUGUUAUUUCUAGCUUUCCUAUGAAGUACUCUCUUAUAUGUUCAACACACUUCUGGGGUUUACUUGUUAUCAUGGCUAUAGAACAGUCACUUUUAUCCUAGGAAUGGGGACUUGAAAUUUUCAUAAGUUAGGGGUCAUUUGUUCUUUAAACAUUUAAUAAAAUAGCCAAUGAGACUAUUUGUAGCUCAAGUUUUA